CGUUAGGCUUUCGGGGGAUACUACCAGGCUUGGGACCGGGAGAGGUAAGAGGUACUACGGGGGUAGGAGUGAAAUCUUGUAAUCCCUGUAGGACCACCAGUGGCGAAGGCGUCUUACCAGAACGGGUCCGACGGUGAGGGACGAAAGCUGGGGGCACGAACCGGAUUAGAUACCCGGGUAGUCCCAGCUGUAAACUAUGCUCGCUAGGUGUCAGGGACGGUGCGACCGUUUCUGGUGCCGCAGGGAAGCCGUGAAGCGAGCCACCUGGGAAGUACGGUCGCAAGGCUGAAACUUAAAGGAAUUGGCGGGGGAGCACUACAACGGGUGGAGCCUGCGGUUUAAUUGGACUCAACGCCGGAAAACUCACCGGGGGCGACAGCAAUAUGUAGGUCAAGCUAAAGACUUUACCAGAAUCGCUGAGAGGAGGUGCAUGGCCGUCGUCAGUUCGUACUGUGAAGCAUCCUGUUAAGUCAGGCAACGAGCGAGACCCGUGCCCACUGUUGCCAGCAUGUCCUUCGGGACGAUGGGUACUCUGUGGGGACCGCCGAUGCUAAAUCGGAGGAAGGUGCGGGCUACGGUAGGUCAGUAUGCCCCGAAUCUCCCGGGCUACACGCGGGCUACAAUGACUGGGACAAUGGGCUCCUACCCCGAAAGGGGAUGGUAAUCUCAUAAACCCAGCCGUAGUUCGGAUCGAGGGCUGCAACCCGCCCUCGUGAAGCUGGAAUCCGUAGUAAUCGCGUUUCAACAUAGCGCGGUGAAUACGUCCCUGCUCCUUGCACACACCCCCCGU
rnacentral:rRNA from 1 species